CUGUCGUCGCCUGGAACGCAGCCCUCUUGAAAACCGCUAGGGCCGGCGACGGUCCUCGUGGGUUCGAAUCCCACGCUCU
rnacentral:tRNA from 1 species